rnacentral:snRNA from 1 species
GUGCUCACUUUGGUAGCACAUUUAUUAAAAUUAGAAUGAUACAGAGAAAAUUAGCAUGGCCCCUGUGAAAGGAUGACAUGCAAAUUCAUGAAGCAUUCUAUAUUUUU